rnacentral:misc_RNA from 1 species
GUGUAAAUGUUAGGCUAAAUGAUUCAAUCUUUGUAUCUCCAAAGGGAGAAAUCAAAGCUGUAGAUGUAAUACAUCAAUUACAAGAAUAAGUUCCAACUUACUACAGAAGGAUUACACUAUCCUGUUCUUUCCCUGAAUAACAACAUAGAGCUUUAAGCCUUUAACACUUGAAUAAAAAUUGUAAUUAUCUCUGUAUGCACUACACAAACAAGAUGUUCAUCGAAAAUUCCCCGCCUCAAGUAUCACUCGAGUAGAAGUUUCAGAUGGAAAUUUCAGGGAGCUUCAUCUAAAUGGAACAUUUGUGAAUAAGCUUCCAUGAGGUCACUUCCAACCUAAUGAACCGACUUAAACGAAUUAAAAUGCCAUCUGAGAUUGCUGAAACAUGUUCUCUUGGGUCAUCUGAAUCUCCGCUAAUACUGGAAAAAAUAUUUCUUCUUGCAAGCAAAGUAUCAAUCAUACACUUCUAGA